rnacentral:rRNA from 1 species
UACGGAGGGGGUUAGCGUUGUUCGGAAUUACUGGGCGUAAAGCGCACGUAGGCGGAUCAGAAAGUUGGGGGUGAAAUCCCCGGGGCUCAAUCCUGGAACUGCCUCCAAAACUCCCAGUCUGGAGUUCGAGAGAGGUGAGUGGAAUUCCGAGUGCAGAGGUGAAAUUCGUAGAUAUUCGGAGGAACACCAGUGGCGAAGGCGGCUCACUGGCUCGAUACUGACGCUGAGGUGCGAAAGUGUGGGGAGCAAACAGGAUUAGAUACCCCGGUAGU